AUCAGACUUUGUAUAUAAGUUGCAUUUCUUCAUUCUAUCGGGAAAUUUUGUUUAAUAACUGUCAAAGUAGCAGGACAUCAAUUAAGUGGUGUUUACCCCAUAGGGGAUGAUUCCUACUUGAUGUUUACUACCAGCUGAUGCUAAUGAAUAUGUUUUGUUCUUGUCUCACCAUACAGUGGAACAACUGACAUCUCUCUAGCUCAGAAUUAGCUUUUUGGACACAACUGGGAGUGGAAGCCAAGAAAACUCUUCACUCCAUAGUUAUCUGUGGAGAUGCAGACAAAUAGCUCCUAGCAGGGAUGAAUUGCCAUUAGGCAAGCAAAACAGGAGUUUUACAAUUCAUGAACAUUUCCUUUGCAUUUUUUUCUUUAGGAGAUACCCAAGGCAGCCUAACAAGCAUUGCAGAAGGAAAAAAUAAAAAAGCACAUCCUGCUUGUUCGAGAGCCGGUGCUUGAGAGCCGACGUGUGAACUCAGACACAGGACUGAAGGCAGUGAUUGCAGAGCUGCUGUGUUGUGGACAGAAUACACUGCUUCGACCACCACUCCAUCAGGAUCUUCUCCUGCCUCCCUCAUUUCAUCACCUCCAAAUUGUGCUCCCUGACAGUUACGAGAGGGGAAUCAAUCAGAAACUCUGCUCCUUUCAGCCGCAGAGCAAAGGACAAGACCUGAACACCCACACUCACCUGUGUGCUGCACCGGAAAGAGACUGGAUUCCUUGCUCAACAAAGCACUGAGAGAUUUGACUUCCUGAGGGCCAUGGCACAUGUGGGCAAAGACAGAACAGCCGCAACCUGGGUUUUCAUCCCUGGAGCCAUGCAGUGCUCCUGAGGAGGGAUCCCAGGACCGGCAAUCUCUUUGGUAAAAGAAGCAGCUUUUACUUGGUUUCACAUCUGCUACUCUCCUCAUCAGCUUCUCUGAUUGAGUACAAGCUGGGGAAAUAAUGAUGUUUAAAUGCAUCCAUGAGCCUGUGUCUCUUCUGAUCCCUGUGACUUUGGUGCAAACUCAGUAACACACCUGGGAACCUGUAACAAGACCACAGAGAAGAGAAUUUUGUCCUGUACCCUUCCUCCUCAUGCUGCCAAAUACCUGAGACUACUGAAAGCAUUAACAGAAAGUUACUCUCUUUGUGGAUAUACCAUACCAAAACGGUGCAGACUUUAAUCGUUUUCCCCAUUCCAGCUGACCUUCAGUAUCAAAAAAAGUCUUACACUUUCUCGGUGCGUCAGUGUUUAGUCAACGUGCAAGGACAUCAUGUCUAAGUACUACUGCUGUUUGAUAGUGCUGCUGUUUACUCUGCCUGGAUGUGUAGGACUCGGAGCAUGUCUCUCCCUUCUUCUCUCUGCCCCUGUUCUCCAUAAGCGACCAAAAGGAUUCAGUUCUCAAAUAAGACAUUUGCAGCCUCAUAUUCUACUUCUCUGCUGCAAAGAACCUUCAAACAAAUUAACAGGCAAGGCAGCACACAGAGGGGCAUUUCUAUGUGUCUGCGUUUCUCAAAGAUUAAUCAAGGAUUUAUCUGAAAAUAUUGAAGUUUAUGUGUAAAUGAGUGAAAGAAGUAUUCCUACUACAAGUGACAGAUGCUUUCUUUACAGUGACAGUCGGGGCUUAGCAGACCAUCGUGUGAGAAUCAUUGCCAUGUUGGGCAACCUCUCCUAUGACCAGGGAAAAGUCAUGCAAAUGUUGAAAUGUAAGUGGCUCAAAACCAUGCUGGUGUUUUUUUACAUCUUAAAUAAGCAUGAUGGAGUGUAAACAUUUGCUGAAGGUUAACACUUCAUUUUCCAUAGGCUUAUUGCUACCACGAAAUCCCAUUUUCCAGCAGAUAAUUAUGCACUGGCUAACAGCCACUUAUGUCUUACCAAG